rnacentral:rRNA from 1 species
GACAGAGGGUGCAAACGUUGUCCGGAUUUAUUGGGCGUAAAGAGCGUGUAGGCGGCCAGGUAGGUCGGUUGUGAAAACUGGAGGCUUAACCUUCAGACGUCGACCGAAACCAUCUGGCUAGAGUCCGGAAGAGGAGAGUGGAAUUCCUGGUGUAGCGGUGAAAUGCGCAGAUAUCAGGAAGAACACCCGUGGCGAAGGCGGCUCUCUGGGACGUGACUGACGCUGAGACGCGAAAGCGUGGGGAGCAAACAGG